rnacentral:rRNA from 1 species
CAACAGCUAGAGUUGAUCCUGGCUCAGGACGAACGCUGGCGGUAUGCCUAACACAUGCAAGUCGAACGAGGUUCUUCGGAACCUAGUGGCGAACGGGUGAGUAACACGUGAGCAACCUGCCUUACACUUUCGGAUACCUACGGGAAACUGUAGUUAAUACGGUAUAAGACCACGCUGUCGCAUGACAGAGGGGUAAAAGAUUUAUCGGUGUAAGAUGGGCUCGCGUCGCAUUAGCUAGUUGGUGGGGUAACGGCUCACCAAGGCGACGAUGCGUAGCCGACCUGAGAGGGUGAUCGGCCACACUGGGACUGAGAUACGGCCCAGACUCCUACGGGAGGCAGCAGUGGGGAAUAUUGGGCAAUGGGCGAAAGCCUUACCCAGCAAUACCGCGUGAGGGAAGGAGGUCUUCGGAUUGUAAACCUCUUUGAUCAGGGACGAAGAAAGUGACGGUACCUGAAGAACAAGCCCCGGCUAACUACGUGCC